UAUGACAGCGACGAACAGAUAUCCGAAAGAAUAUAACAUAACCUCAAUUUCUAUAACAUAAUUCGUAUGAUCAAAUAUUUGUGCGUUUAUAUUUGGAAGAAGGUUAUAUGGAAGAAGGUGAAGUCAUAGCUAUGCUACAGAAAGAAUCGCGAAAAAAGUGCUGGAUAAGAUCUUGCACUUUUCGCUUGAUCAAAGAAUGCCAUGAAGGGAACUUGUAAGAAAAGGAUGCAUCCCUAGUGUAACGUUUCCUUACGUCACAUUUUCCUGUUUGCGAAAAAUCCGUUAUGAAGGCUCUUCGUACCAAAUGCUAUUAGUAAAUAUGAGUAAUGUUUUUGUUUCCGAAUCCUUUUUCGUAUUUCGCAUCGAAUAAUUUUUGAAAGGAUAAAUUUUAACAGAGAUCCAAAUUUCAUGUGUUACAAUGGUAAGUGCUGUGCAGAUAAAUUCACUAAAUUUCACGAUAGAAGAGUCCUUUUGAUGGGCUGCGGUGAUCGGCGAAGCGUAGAGAAUGCUGUAGCCGAAUUGUAGUAGUAAAUUUUCAGUUGCAAACUUGAUUGGCGAACAUCAAUCCACUCAACUCUCUGUGAUGAAAGGUAUCCAAAUUUGAAUUUUAAUAAUCAAAGAAGGAAA